UGGGGAAUAUUGCACAAUGGGCGCAAGCCUGAUGCAGCAACGCCGCGUGAACGAAGAAGGUCUUCGGAUUGUAAAGUUCUGUCCUUAGGGAAGAAGGAAGUGACGGUACCUAAGGAGGAAGCCCCGGCUAACUACGUGCCAGCAGCCGCGGUAAUGCGUAGGGGGCAAGCGUUAUCCGGAAUGAUUGGGCGUAAAGAGUACGUAGGUGGUUUCGUAAGCGCAGGGUGAAAGGCAGUGGCUUAACCAUUGUAAGCCUUGCGAACUGCGAGACUUGAGUGCAGGAGAGGAAAGCGGAAUUCCUAGUGUAGCGGUGAAAUGCUUAGAUAUUAGGAGGAACACCAGUGGCGAAGGCGGCUUUCUGGACUGUAACUGACACUGAGGUACGAAAGCGUGGGGAGCAAACAGGAUUAGAUACCC
rnacentral:rRNA from 1 species